rnacentral:lncRNA from 1 species
UGGGGAGGCUGAAGAAUGAUUGCCACUUUAUUUAAGUCUCUGGGCCUAAUUUACAAAGACUAUUUGGGCCCAAGGAAUGGGGCCAAAGGGGCAGAGUACACCAUAACCAAGUCAGAGCAAGAAGUCAGCAUGAGGCGCUGAUCUGCUCAAAGAAACCAGUAUUGGAAACCAGGAGAAGAACCUAGACUGGUUCUGGUGUUGUCAAAUGCUGGUUGUAUUAGUUAAAGCAGGGGUCCAUAGAUGCUUUCUGCAAAGAGCCAGAUCAUAAAUAUUUUAGGCUUUGCACAUCAUACAGUCUCUGUUGCAACUACUCAACUCUGCUGUUACAACAUGAAAACAGUCAUAGGCUGUCCUAAUAAAACUUAAUUUGUAGACACAAGCAGCAAGAGACUUUGGGCCCAUGAGUUAAGGUUAUAUCAGCUGAUGUAACAAACAAACCUCAAAAUAUCAAUGACUCAACUAUGGUAGAUGUCUAUUUCUAGCUCAUGAAAAGUCCAAUGCAGACAUUUCUGGUCAGGCAACUCUCUAGGGUGACUGUCCUUCAAGAAGUAGUAGAGACCCAAGUUCCUACCAUAUUGCGGCUCCUCCAUUCUCAGCUUGGAGUGUCCGAGCUCACCUGGCUGAUUUGAACUAAAUUAGUGGAAGGGAAGGAACAUGGAGAUUCAUCUACAGAAGGGUUUGUGGGCCAGGAGUGGGAGUGAAGCAUAUCAAAUCCCCUCAUUUGACUAGAGUUUGCUCUCUUCACCACUCCAACUGCAGAUGAAUCUGAGCUUUCACCAUUGUGUUACAUCCAUGCUGACUUUUUGCUGAAGGCUACCAUCCUGACAGAUGACAUAUUAUUCUUUUGGAACUACUUUCCCCCAAGACACCUGGGAUUACCUGCCCAUCCUCUAUGCUCCAUAUAUUCUUCCUAUAUUUACCCAAAAGGGCCU